rnacentral:lncRNA from 1 species
UUACUAUUACUAAUUGGAGACUCCUUUUGAAACCUCCACAUGAUGCCACCUAGGAAUUCUAGAUGGACACUCUAGAAAAAGAGAGAAAUUCUAAAAAUUCUCUCAAGAAAGCAAAACACCUGGCCAUUAGUACAUUAGGAUAAUCAUUGUAGCUAUUGGAUCUAUUAUGUUUUUGAAAAAAUUACCCACCUAUACCAUUAUGAAAAUAGCCUAAAAUAACCCCAAAUUUAUAUCUAAAUUACCCACAUCUGCCAUUAUCUAAAAUAAAAUAAAGUAACCCCUCAUCUUCUUCUAAAUUAACCACUUAUGCCAUUAUAAAAUAAUAAUUUAAAAUAGCUCCCCACCACUAGCAUUAUAAAAGAAUAAUUUAAAAUAACUCCCCACCACUAGCAUUAACGAAAUAUUUAAAGUAAACCCUUAAGUUUGUAUCUAAACUAUGCACAUACGUCAUUAUUAAAAAUAACAUGUGAUAAACCUAAAUUUGAAUCUAAAUCAUCUUCACUAAAAAUAUACGUAAAGGUACACCAAUAUAUAAUUUUAAAUUAUUUAUUUCUUAUAUUGUUGGUAUAGAAA